GCGGACGUGGGGGGCUUGGACGCGCGGCCUUCACUCUGGCCGCUUGGACCGCUCCGAGCCACUAGCGAGACCGACCCGCCCCAUC
rnacentral:ncRNA from 1 species